rnacentral:rRNA from 1 species
UGGGGAAUAUUGGACAAUGGGCGAAAGCCUGAUCCAGCCAUGCCGCGUGUGUGAAGAAGGUCUUCGGAUUGUAAAGCACUUUAAGUUGGGAGGAAGGGCAUUAACCUAAUACGUUAGUGUUUUGACGUUACCGACAGAAUAAGCACCGGCUAACUCUGUGCCAGCAGCCGCGGUAAUACAGAGGGUGCAAGCGUUAAUCGGAAUUACUGGGCGUAAAGCGCGCGUAGGUGGUUUGUUAAUUUGGAUGUGAAAUCCCCGGGCUCAACCUGGGAACUGCAUUCAAAACUGACUGACUAGAGUAUGGUAGAGGGUGGUGGAAUUUCCUGUGUAGCGGUGAAAUGCGUAGAUAUAGGAAGGAACACCAGUGGCGAAGGCGACCACCU